rnacentral:rRNA from 1 species
ACCAGCAGCAUCCCACCCUGCAUCCCACUGCUGGCUUUCCUCUGAAGCUAAGCAGGGUUGGUCCUGGAUGGGAGACCAGAUGCUGCUGGAA